rnacentral:sRNA from 1 species
GACUGUCAGUCUGGCAAACCCGAAAAAGCCAAAAAGUAGACAAAACUCAGUUGCGUUGGCAGUGCAUAGAAAUGAAACAAAAUUUAUUUUAAGCUACUAAAGAGCAUGGCUGAGUUCAAGUGACGAGUAUAUAGGACGUGUACUUAUCUACUGCACCGACGGUUGGAUGGAUGGCUGGACUGACUCCGGAAAAUGGAGAACGGACAGCACGGGGAACAUGGAGCAGGAGCAUAGAGCACGGAGUUAUCUGGCUCUUUUUUUCAGUGUGCUCCAUGCAAACGCAAUAGACGUAAACAAAUUGCUGGCACUUAAACAUUUUUGAAAACAGCGCUUGAUGAAGUUUUCCCUUUUUCGGUUGAUGUUGAUGUUGGUUGGCUCGUUGUCCUUCGCAUCAGCAUUCAGUGUGCCACACCAGGACAAGACAAGCCAGAAUCGCAACCAGCUGCACCAGGAAAAAUUAUGAUAGUUUAUGCUGAUCCAUGCUGAACGUUGUAAGCACUAUUCGUUGAUCACUUUGAUAAAUUUCGCUUUUAAAUAUUUUAAAUUAUGUAAAAUAUUGCAAAGAAAAAUAAGGUGCCAAAAAGAAUUCAGCAAAAGAGCAUCUUCGCCUUGGGUGCACUUUGAGUUGAAAUAAAUUGUUGCAUACUUAUAUGCGCAGCUGGUUGCACGCUCAUUUGCAUGCGUAAUAAGGGUAAUUUGAAUUUUAAGGAAAUUGAUAUAGAGCCUGGAUUUUCUUUAUGUGCACCCAUCGUUGUCAUAGCUUGUUAGCCCGAUGCAACUGCAGCUGAGAUGAUUAGCGGUACUGAGACUGCAUCUGCAUUUGGAGUGCGGAGCAGGGUAGGAAUAUGUAGUUUCUGCGGCAACUUGCCUGACUUGUGUGAUGGGAGGUUGAUGUGUUUUGGCCUGAUCCAAAGCCAGAGAGCUAAUCAAAUGCAUUAAAGCCCUGCGGGGACUUAAAGUUUGAUUUCGAAAAUCAUGUUAGGCAGCAUUCGGAUUCAGAAACAAGCCGCACUGGCAACUGGAUGACGGCAGAGCAACUGAGUUAUGUCAGAAAUUUCUGACGGAAUAUAAUUUGCAAACAACCGAAACAGAUUCGAGCAACAAUUUCUCAACGUCAGUUUGAGGUAAUAUGGAAACUUCUGAGGGCAUUGUUAAUUAUUUUGUUUUAGAAGUGCAAUCCUUAGAUGCUUAGGCCGUUUCACAUCAUUUGAGAUCAACAUGCACACAUCCGGCAUUAAGCUUAUUGCAUUUUUAUGUAAAUUCACACUUUGCGCCCCAUGUACCCUAUUGCUAUAAAAAUACAAGCCAGCAAAUGGCAGCCACUUUGCUGCCGCUUUUGUGGAGCAAAUUUGUGCGCCACGUUCGCCAUUCCCAAAUGCAAAUAAAUAAAUAAAUAUGUAGAAGAAACCUCGAAAGAAUGUGCCCACUAAAA